GAUGAUGGCUCUGAUUGAACGCUAUCCUAGUGCUUGACACAUGCUAAUCGAACGUCUAACUAUAUUAGAAAUAAUAGAGUUAGAAGUGGUGUACAGGUGAGUAAAAGAUAUUAUGGCUACCUUGGAGUAAGGGACAUUAAAAUCCCUUAUAUCAUAUUGGGGACUUGUAUUAAAAGAAAUUUAUUUUCGCUCCUAGAUGGAAAUUAAUAUCUCGGACAGGUAGUAGUUAAGGUAAUGGCUUAACUAGCUUAUGUCCGUAGUCGAGACUGAGAGGUCGAUCGACCACAUUGGGUCUGAAAAAACCCCAAUACGUAUAGUACAGCAGUGAGGAAUAUUGGCAAUGGCCUAACGGCUGAACCAGCAACUUGGGGGAAUGGAUAUAUAUAUUAGAGAUAAUAUAUAGUCCCGACUCUGUCGGAUAAAGUUCUAGAUAGAAGAAUGAUAAUGCAAUUUUCUAUCUAUAUGUCUUGACCAAAUCUUGUGCCAGCAGUCGCGGCAACACAAGGGAGACUAGUGUUAUUCAUCUUUACUAGGUUUAAAGGGUACCUAGACGGUAUAUCAUGCCCCAAAAGGGAACGGAUUUACUAGAGUUUUAUGUGAGAGGCAAAUAUAGUACUAUUGGUGUAGAGAUAAAAUUCUGUGAUACCUCUAGGACGGGUAACGGCGAAGGCAAUCCUCUAUGUAAAAACUGACGUUGAGGGACGAAGGCUCGGGUAGCGAAUAGGAUUAGAUACCCUAGUAGUCCGGGCAGACAAUUAUGAAUGUCAUAGAUUAGAAAUAUUUGAUCUAUAAAUGAAAGUGUAAGCAUUCCACCUCAAGAGUAAGGCGGCAACGUUGGAACUGAAAUCAUUAGACCGUUUCUGAAACCAGUAAAAAAGUUUUA
rnacentral:rRNA from 1 species